AUUGAACGCUGGCGGCAGGCCUAACACAUGCAAGUCGAACGAGUGGCGGACGGGUGAGUAAUGUCUGGGAAACUGCCUGAUGGAGGGGGAUAACUACUGGAAACGGUAGCUAAUACCGCCUACCAUCGGAUGUGCCCAGCUGGGAUUAGCUAGUAGGUGGGGUAAAGGCUCACCUAGGCGACGAUCCCUAGCUGGUCUGAGAGGAUGACCAGCCACGCUGGAUCGGAGACACGGUCCAGACGCCUACGGGACGCAGGGGAGGAGAAUAUUGCACAAUGGGCGCAAGCCUGAUGCAGCCAUGCCGCGUGUAGGAAGAAGGCCUGCGGGUUGUAGAGUACUUUCAGCGUUGAAGCGUUACCCGCAGAAGAAGCACCGGCUAACUCCGUGCCAGCAGCCGCGGUAAUUC
rnacentral:rRNA from 1 species